rnacentral:rRNA from 1 species
CGUUUUUCCUGGCAGUCUAGAAUGCGGAUGCCGUGGGAGGAAUGUGUGGUGUAGCGGUGAAAUGCAUAGAUAUCACACAGAACACCGAUUGCGAAGGCAUCUCACGAAUCCGCAAUUGACGCUGAGGCACGAAAGCGUGGGGAUCAAACAGGAUUAGAUACCCUGGUAGUCCACGCUGUAAACGAUGAUGACUAACCGUCGGCGAUAUACAGUCGGUGGCCAAGCGAAAGCGAUAAGUCAUCCACCUGGGGAGUACGACCGCAAGGUUGAAACUCAAAGGAAUUGACGGGGGCCCGCACAAGCGGAGGAACAUGUGGUUUAAUUCGAUGAUACGCGAGGAACCUUACCCGGGCUCGAACGGCAGAUGAAUUGAGUAGAGAUAUUCAAGUCUUCGGACAUCUGUCGAGGUGCUGCAUGGUUGUCGUCAGCUCGUGCUGUGAAGUGUCGGCUUAAGUGCCAUAACGAGCGCAACCCUUGCCGUUAGUUGCCAUCAGGUUAUGCUGGGGACUCUAGCGGGACUGCCACCGCAAGGUGUGAGGAAGGGGGGGAUGACGUCAAAUCAGCACGGGCUCUUACGUCCGGGGCGACACACGUGUUACAAUGGCGAGUACAGAGGGAAGCUACCUGGCGACAGGAUGCAGAUCUCGAAAGCUCGUCCCAGUUCGGAUUGGAGUCUGCAACCCGACUCGAUGAAGUUGGAUUCGCUAGUAAUCGCCGCAUCAGCCAUGGCGCGGUGAAUACGUUCCCGGGCCUUGUACACAC